rnacentral:siRNA from 1 species
GGUGUCCAAAAUUAAAAUGGUUU